rnacentral:lncRNA from 1 species
AUGAAAAAUGCAGAAAGGGUCAAACAGAAAAAAGCUCAAGAGAUGCACAAUGAGCGCCAGUUUCAAAGCUGGACGAAAAACCCUGACACACUGGAGCUUUCAAAAAGAAAACAACAGGUGCUAAAAACAGGAGCAAGAAAAAAUAGGAUUGUGGACACGGCAGAUGAAUAUCGUGACGUGUACGGGGAAGUUCUCCCGCAUCACAGAACUCCUGAAACUACCAGCACGAAAUGUAAACAGGCGUUAGGCUCGCCACCCAUCCCACUUUUGGAGCGGCAUAACAUCAUGGCGAGACAUCGUUUGGCUGGCAUAAAAAAAGCACAAAAGCUCAGACAGGAGCAUGAACGCCCGAUUCACAGCACAAAGGAGCUGAAGACAGAUCGUGCAUACGAUCCAACUGCCUUACGAGAAGAAUCCAGAAAAAAAUGGAUCUUAGAUACGGCACAGGAGUAUCGUGACGUGUGCGGGGAAGCUCUUCCGCAUCGUGGUACUCGUGAAACAUAUAUGGCUCGUAUGAAAAAUGCAGAAAGGGUCAAACAGAAAAAAGCUCAAGAGAUGCACAAUGAGCGCCAGUUUCAAAGCUGGACAAAAAACCCUGACACACUGGAGCCUUCAAAAGGAAAACAACAGGUGCUAAAAACAGGAGCAAGAAAAAAUACGGCACAGGAACAUCGUGACGUGUGCAGCGAAGCUCACCCGCAUCAUAGCACUCAUGAAGCUUCCAUCACAAUCAGGAGACAGGUGUUAGGCUCACAACUCCUCCCACCUUUGGAACAGCAGAGCAUCAUGGCGAGAAGAAACCCUGACACUCUGAACUUCCAAAAAGAAAACAACAGUGCUAAAGACAAGAAACAAGAAAAAAUAGAAUUGCAGACACGGCACAGGAACAUCGUGACGUGUACAGGGAAGCUCACCCGCAUCAUAGCACUCAUGAAGCUUCCAUCACAAUCAGGAGACAGGUGUUCGGCUCACAACUCCUCCCACCUUUGGAACAGCAGAGCAUCAUGGCGAGAAGAAACCCUGACACUCUGGAACUUCCAAAAAGAAAACAACAGGUGCUAA